CAGUAGCCGCGGUAAUACGUAGGGUGCAAGCGUUAAUCGGAAUUACUGGGCGUAAAGCGUGCGCAGGCGGUUCUAUAAGACAGAUGUGAAAUCCCCGGGCUCAACCUGGGAACUGCAUUUGUGACUGUAGAGCUGGAGUACGGCAGAGGGGGAUGGAAUUCCGCGUGUAGCAGUGAAAUGCGUAGAUAUGCGGAGGAACACCGAUGGCGAAGGCAAUCCCCUGGGCCUGUACUGACGCUCAUGCACGAAAGCGUGGGGAGCAAACAGGAUUAGAUACCCCGGUAGUCCCUGUCUCUUAUAC
rnacentral:rRNA from 1 species